rnacentral:rRNA from 1 species
AUUNGGCUUGAUCUGUGGGUCAGUGGCGACGGGUGAGUACACGUGAGCACCUGCCCCUGACUCUGGGAUAUGCGCUGGAAACGGCGUCUAAUACUGGAUACGAGUAGCUGACCGCAUGGUCAGUUACUGUGAAAGAUUUAUUGGUUGGGGAUGGUGCUCGCUGGCCUAUCAGCUUGUUGGUGAGGUAAUGGCUCACCAAGGCGUCGACGGGUAGCCGGCCUGAGAGGGUGACCGGCCACACUGGGCACUGAGACACGGCCCAGACUCCUACGGGAGGCAGCAGUGGGGAAUAUUGCACAAUGGGCGCAAGCCUGAUGCANCAACGCCACGUGAGGGAUGACGGCCUUCNGGUUGUAAACCUCUUUUAGCANGGAAGAAGCGAAAGUGACGGUACCUGCNGAAAAAGCGCCGGCUAACUACGUGCCAGCAGCCGCGGUAAUACGUAGGGCG